rnacentral:rRNA from 1 species
AGCGAACGCUGGCGGCAGGCUUAACACAUGCCAGUCGAGCGGGCACUUUCGGGUGUCAGCGGCGGACGGGUGAGUAACGCGUGGGAACGUGCCCUCUGGUUCGGAAUAACUCAGGGAAACUUGAGCUAAUACCGGAUACGCCCUUUUGGGGAAAGGCUUGCUGCCGGAGGAUCGGCCCGAGUCUGAUUAGCUAGUUGGUGAGGUAACGGCUCACCAAGGCGACGAUCAGUAGCUGGUCUGAGAGGAUGAUCAGCCACACUGGGACUGAGACACGGCCCAGACUCCUACGGGAGGCAGCAGUGGGGAAUAUUGGACAAUGGGCGCAAGCCUGAUCCAGCCAUGCCGCGUGAGUGAUGAAGGCCUUAGGGUUGUAAAGCUCUUUUAUCCGGGACGAUAAUGACGGUACCGGAGGAAUAAGCCCCGGCUAACUUCGUG